GAUGAACGCUGGCGGCGUGCCUAAUACAUGCAAGUCGAGCGAACAGACGAGGAGCUUGCUCCUCUGACGUUAGCGGCGGACGGGUGAGUAACACGUGGAUAACCUACCUAUAAGACUGGGAUAACUUCGGGAAACCGGAGCUAAUACCGGAUAAUAUAUUGAACCGCAUGGUUCAAUAGUGAAAGACGGUUUUGCUGUCACUUAUAGAUGGAUCCGCGCCGCAUUAGCUAGUUGGUAAGGUAACGGCUUACCAAGGCAACGAUGCGUAGCCGACCUGAGAGGGUGAGCGGCCACACUGGAAAGGAGACAGGGUGCAGAACACUCAGGGAGGCAGCAGUAGGGAAUAUUCAGCAAUGGGCGAAAGCCUGACGGAGCAAAGACGCGUGAGUGAUGAAGGUCUUCGGAUCGUAAAACUUUGUUAUUAGGGAAGAACAAAUGUGUAAGUAAAUAUGCACGUCUUGACGGGACCUAAUCAGAAAGCCACGGCUAACUACGUG
rnacentral:rRNA from 1 species